UAGCCCCUUCCGUUUGUGUAUAAAUGGCGAAGCUUCAACGACUGUUCGUAUUCUUCGUCGUUUGAAAGCUCACUCUCUCCACUCUACCGACGCCUCUAGUCUUCGCAGCUUCUGCCAUCUUCGAACCAUGUCGAGGAGAAAGGUUAGGGAGCCAAAGGAAGAGACUUCGACCCUUGGACCUGCUGUAAGAGAAGGAGAGCAAGUUACGUGCUACGGGAGGGAACAAAACCAAGACCCCUGGUCCUGGUGCUCAGUCCGCUCUCAGGGCACUUGCUCGAUCUGGAAUGAAAAUCGGCCGUAUUGAGGAUGUUACUCCGAUCCCCACCGACAGCACCCGGAGAAAGGGUGGUAGAAGAGGAAGAAGGCUGUAAACUGUGGCACAUUCUAUUCUAGCAUAUUAUUGUCUUUUGGUGGUAUUGCAUUUGGUUACUUGGUG